CCUACGGGUGGCAGCAGUGGGGAAUAUUGCGCAAUGGGCGAAAGCCUGACGCAGCGACGCCGCGUGAGGGAUGAAGGUCUUCGGAUCGUAAACCUCUGUCAGCAGGGAAGAACGGUCACUGUGCUAAUCAGCAGUGAAUUGACGGUAACUGCAAAGGAAGCACCGGCUAACGCCGUGCCAGCAGCCGCGGUAAUAAGGAGGGUGCGAGCGUUAAUCGGAAUUACUGGGCGUAAAGCGCUCGUAGGCGGUAUGUCAAGUCAAGGGUGAAAUCCCCGCGCUCAACGUGGGAACUGCCUUUGAAACUGGCAAACUGGAGUGUGUGAGAGGAUAGUGGAAUUCCAGGUGUAGGAGUGAAAGCCGUAGAUAUCUGGAGGAACAUCAGUGGCGAAGGCGACUAUCUGGCACAUAACUGACGCUGAGGAGCGAAAGCGUGGGUAGCAAACAGGAUCAGAUACCCCUGUAGUC
rnacentral:rRNA from 1 species